rnacentral:rRNA from 1 species
GAUGAACGCUGGCGGCGUGCCUAAUACAUGCAAGUCGAGCGAACGGACGAGAAGCUUGCUUUUCUGAUGUUAGCGGCGGACGGGUGAGUAACACGUGGAUAACCUACCUAUAAGACUGGGAUAACUUCGGGAAACCGGAGCUAAUACCGGAUAAUAUUUUGAACCGCAUGGUUCAAAAGUGAAAGACGGUCUUGCUGUCACUUAUAGAUGGAUCCGCGCUGCAUUAGCUAGUUGGUAUGGUAACGGCUUACCAAGGCAACGAUGCAUAGCCGACCUGAGAGGGUGAUCGGCCACACUGGAACUGAGACACGGUCCAGACUCCUACGGGAGGCAGCAGUAGGGAAUCUUCCGCAAUGGGCGAAAGCCUGACGGAGCAACGCCGCGUGAGUGAUGAAGGUCUUCGGAUCGUAAAACUCUGUUAUUAGGGAAGAACAUAUGUGUAAGUAACUGUGCACAUCUUGACGGUACCUAAUCAGAAAGCCACGGCUAACUACGUG